rnacentral:rRNA from 1 species
GUGCCAGCAGCCGCGGUAAUACGUAGGGGGCGAGCGUUGUCCGGAAUCAUUGGGCGUAAAGAGCUCGUAGGCGGUUCAGUAAGUCAGGUGUGAAAGCUCCGAGCUCAACUCGGAGAGGCCACCUGAUACUGCUGUGACUAGAAUCCAGUAGGGGAGUGUGGAACUCCUGGUGUAGCGGUGAAAUGCGCAGAUAUCAGGAAGAACACCAGCGGCGAAGGCGGCACUCUGGGCUGGAAUUGACGCUGAGGAGCGAAAGUGUGGGUAGCAAACAGGAUUAGAUACCCCAGUAGUCC